rnacentral:rRNA from 1 species
ACAGCUAGGAUGUUGGCUUGGAGGCAGCCAUCAUUUAAAAAGUGCGUAAUAGCUUACUAGCCGAGUGUCCUCGCGCCGAAAAUGAACGGGACUCAAGCCUGGUACCGAAGCCGCGGGUCGCGCCCCUCUGGGAGGUGCGCGGCGGUAGAAGAGCGUUCUACGCGGGUUGAAGGGUGACGGUGACGACGCCUGGACUGCGUAGAAGUGAUUAUGCAGGGAUGAGUAGCGAUAAAGGGAGUGAGAAGCUCCCUCGCCGUAAGCCUACGGUUUCCUGGGGAAGGUAAUUCCGCCCAGGGUUAGUCGGAACCUAAGGCGAGGCCGAAAGGCGUAGUCGAUGGACAACGGGUCAAUAUUCCCGUACCACGGCAAGGCGUUCGACCGAUGGGGGGACGGCGUGUGGACGGUGGUCCGGCCGUUAGUCGUGCCGGUACAAGCAUCCGGGUGGCCGGUAGGAAAACCCGCCGGCGGAAUCUCGGGUGUGAUGUCGAGCCGAUUUCAGGCGAAGCCAUCCGAAGCGCGUCCAAGAAAAGCCUCUAGGGAGUCUUGUCGUGUCCGUACCAAAACCGACACAGGUUGGCGAGAUGAAUAUUCUAAGGCGCUCGAGCGAACCCUCGUUAAGGAACUAGGCAAAUUGACCGCGUAACUUCGGGAUAAGCGGAGCCCUCUGGGGUGCCUCGGUGCUCCGGGGGGUCGCAGGAAAUCGGUGGGGGCGACUGUUUACUAAAAACACAGGACUCUGCCAAGUCGCAAGACGACGUAUAGAGUCUGACGCCUGCCCGCUGUUGGAACGUUAAGGUGAGGGGUUAGCCUUCGGGCGAAGCUCCGAGCCGAAGCGCCAAUGAAGGGCGGCCGUAACUAUGACGGUCCUAAGGUAGCGAAGUUCCUUGUCGGGUAAGUUCCGACCCGCACGAAUGGCGUAACGACUCCCACACUGUCUCAACGAGGGGCUCGGCGAAAUUGAAGUUGUGGUGAAGAUACCACAUUCCCGCUGCAAGACGGAAAGACCCCGUGAACCUUUACUGCAGCCUAAUAUUGGGUUUAGGUAUGGUAUGUGUAGCAUAGGUGGGAGGCUGUGAUGCAGGGACGCCAGUCCCUGUUGAGCCGCCAGUGAAAUACCACCCUUAUCAUGCUUGAAUCCUAACCCGGUGCCGUGAAUCCGGGCUGGGGACAGUGUUAGGUGGGCAGUUUGGCUGGGGCGGUCUCCUCCUAAAAGGUA